UACGUAGGGGGCGAGCGUUGUCCGGAUUUAUUGGGCGUAAAGAGCUCGUAGGCGGCUUGGCAAGUCGGGUGUGAAACCUCCAGGCUCAACCUGGAGACGCCACUCGAUACUGCCAUGGCUAGAGUCCGGUAGGGGACCACGGAAUUCCUGGUGUAGCGGUGAAAUGCGCAGAUAUCGGGAGGAACACCAGUGGCGAAGGCGAUCACCUGGGGUUGUUCUGACGCUGAGGAGCGAAAGCUAGGGGAGCAAACAGG
rnacentral:rRNA from 1 species